GAUGAACGCUGGCGGCGUGCCUAAUACAUGCAAGUCGAGCGAACGGACGAGAAGCUUGCUUUUCUGAUGUUAGCGGCGGACGGGUGAGUAACACGUGGAUAACCUACCUAUAAGACUGGGAUAACUUCGGGAAACCGGAGCUAAUAUCGGAUAAUAUUUUGAACCGCAUGGUUCAAAAGUGAAAGACGGUCUUGCUGUCACUUAUAGAUGGAUCCGCGCUGCAUUAGCUAGUUGGUAAGGUAACGGCUUACCAAGGCAACGAUGCAUAGCCGACCUGAGAGAGUGAUCGGCCACGCUGGAACUGAGACACGGUCCAGACUCCUACGGGAGGCAGCAGUAGGGAAUCUUCCGGAAUGGGCGAAAGCAUGACGGAGCAACGCCGCGUGAGUGAUGAAGGUCUUCGGAUCGUAAAACUCUGUUAUUAGGGAAGAACAUAUGUGUAAGUAACUGUGCACAUCUUGACGGUACCUAAUCAGAAAGCCACGGCUAACUACGUG
rnacentral:rRNA from 1 species